rnacentral:rRNA from 1 species
ACGGAGGAUCCAAGCGUUAUCCGGAUUUACUGGGUUUAAAGGGUGCGUAGGCGGAUUGAUAAGUCAGUGGUGAAAGCCUACAGCUUAACUGUAGAACUGCCAUUGAUACUGCCAGACUGGAGUAUGGGAGAGGUAGGCGGAAUGUGUAGUGUAGCGGUGAAAUGCGUAGAGAUUAGGAAGAACACCGGUGGCGAAGGCGGCUUACUGGACUAGUACUGACGCUCAGGUGCGAAAGCGUGGGGAGCAAACAG